AAAUUUUAGAGAGACAGAGGGUGGGGUAAUUGUCGGUGUAGGAGCCAAUCGAUGUCAUGCAUGUAGGUAUACUUUGGUUUUCAUUGGUCAGUGCACUGAGUCAUUGACUCUAAUGCAGCAGCCGCCGACAGAGUGGGUAAUUUUACUACUACUAGGUAAAAUGGCGUUCCUAGGGAGCAAUAAAAGAAAAACAAAACAAUUAAGUCUUUGGAUCUUUUCCGAAAGACAUCACAAGAGGGCAGCAGAGACAAGGAGGGUGAUGAGCUACAGAAGGAGGAGAAGCAGGAAGAAGACAGAAGAGAUGGUGACAGAGAGGAUUCAGGAUUACUGAGUGUGUUGUGGCCCAACGUUCUGGAGGUGGAAGCCGAACAGGAGCACUUGCUGCCCACAAGAAAAGACAGGACAAGUCUGGAUUCCAAGACUGUAGCUCAGCCUCUGUGAUGGGAAGACGUCACCACUGUCAGGAGAAAUAAGACUGUUCCCAGACAAAAGUAAGACAGCUCUCCCAAAUGGGCUCUACACACACUCAUUCUUAGUUUAGCUCAAAUGCUUAGAUCGCAAAGCCAAAGCACCACUGACCUCACAAGAUGGUCAUGAUCUACUUCCCCAAAACCACAUUUUAUCUGUUCAUUGACACCACUGCUCUUCAGUUGUUUAAUAUAGUGCCUAGAGAAGAGUGAUGAUGCAUGACCUCAUCUUGUACUUUUAUCAGUUUCACUAUUGCAUAAUAACUCAAGUUGUUGACCACAGAGCUGACUGUCGUUAGAAUUUCUUUAUGUGUCUUCUUUAUGUGAUUAUAUUAUGUAUAUAUACAUACGUACAAACAGUAUGUAUAUUUACAUUUGACACGUAUUCCUUAAUUUUCUUAAUAAGACUCAAAUCAGGAAAUAUCAGAUCAAAGAACUGAGCACUAAGCCAACUAAUACAUAGUUUAUCCCAUUAAAGUGUUCACUACAAUGACUUUCUGACUUGAUUCCAAUGCCCUAUCAUGGCCAACCUCUAUCUGCAGUAUUACAGUUAUAGAGCAGCUGUCAAACAGGUGAGAACAUCUUCUAACGUUUUUUUAAGCAGUAUUUUCACAGCUGGAAAGAUUAUACUAAACAGAUAUACAGACCUGCGCCUGUGAUUUCAAUAAACGAGUUUUCUUCCAAGUCCAGCUUUGAGUGUUUAUACUCAUUUACAGUAGAUAUGUGCUGUUCAAAUUAACUUUGACAGACAUAGCAUAAUGAAAACAUCCAACACACUGGAGGAAGAUGUACAAUUGAGCAGUCAUUUUUAUUUUGCCAGGAGCUCAAAUGACUCGACAUUCUGUCUGUAAAUGUAUUUUGUAUGUAGUGCGGCUCCAUCAGACUGACAAGUUUUAGUGCCUCACUACAAAACCGUGUUUCACUCUCUGCUUUCAUGGUGUCUUAAUGAAGCUGUACAAUGCUGUGGUUUCUCAUGUGUCAGUGCUGCCUUCAAUAUUAACCUGCAGUGUAUUUGACUUAAAUGGCACAAACUGAUAUUUUAAGAGAGGGGUAUUCAUAGCAUACAUGCAUACAUGUCAGUUUGCUAUAAAUAUUUAUAUAUCAUGUGUAUGUGUUAAUGCUGUUGUUAAAUACAGGAAAAUGUUUGUUUUUUUUCUUUUCAAACUGUUCUUACUAUCACAAUCUCCAUGGCAAAUAAAACACUUAUGUCCACAACCUUUCAAGGGACGCUGUGUUUGUAUGUGUGCUGGACACAUUAGAUGAAGAAAAGGAA